AGGAUGCCAUCUGCUAGCACCAUGACUGGCGGGAGAGCAUUGCUGCUCUGUACAAACACAGAGGACUGCAUCUACCAAUCAGCAAACGGGAAGUCUUACGAGUUUGAAGAUCUUCUACAGUCUGCAGCAGAAGGAUGUCGAACAGAUUUGUACGAGCUUUCUAAGCUU
rnacentral:lncRNA from 1 species